AAAAAAAGAAAAAAAACCUGCUGCUGCUGUUUGUCGCUGGAGGAAAACUUCGCUCGUCGUCGAAGACAACUUUAAACGUCGAACACCAGCUGUGGUGUAAGGACCUCCCUUGUUGGCAAGUACGGGAAUUGCAAGGAUCGUCCGUUACCCACUCUAUGGCAGCGCUACACUCCCAGAGCAGGUGCCUUACCGACUAAAGUUGGGAGUGCAUUACGGACCUGACCGGGAGGAUCUCAUGAGCCACCAUCCAUGACAGGUCCCGGAGUCUGUUUGGAAGUGCGGGAUGGUUCACGUUGCGCCAAACUGUUGAGGGCUCACCCAAUGCAAGCCUACGCACUGGACUCAGGUUUCUGCUCCUGCACAACAGACAUGAGAGAGCGGCGAGUGGUUAAAAACUGCAACUCCUCCUGCUCAAAGUUAAAAUGCCUUUAAAAAUGACCGGUUAAAAGCGUAGGCUGGUGGCAGGUUAAAAGACACUGGUACUUUGAGGUCAGUGGGUAAAAUCGUGAGUUUCCUGAGGUACGACCCCAUCCAGAACUGUGUCAUUGCAGCGGUCUUGGGGUUUCUGGAUGGGGCCGUGGCAGUUGUGAUGUGUAGUGCGGUGUAUCUGUUUCCUUAAAAAA